rnacentral:tRNA from 1 species
GGUGGCUCAGUGGUAGAGUGCCUGCCUUGCACUCAGGAGGCCCUGGGUUUGAUUCCUCAGCACCA